UAUUCCUUAUUGUUGUCUUUAGUUUCAUUAACGAAUUAAACGUUGACUUGAAUGAAGAAUGCCUUCAAGACGAAAAUGCUGUAUUUGCAAAUCGCAAGAUUUAAAAGGAAAAUCGUUUCAUUAUUUUCCUGCUAAUAUAAAUUUCGCCUCUGAGUGGAAAGCAGCAAUUGCACCUUAUAUUGACCAUAAAAAUUUAUCCGAAUAUUCAACUGUUUGCAGUGCACAUUUUAAACCGGAAGAUUUUUUGACCAAUGCAAAGAAACGCAUGCUUUUACCAGGAGCUGUUCCUUCUAGAUUUUUUCAAACCACGACGGAAAUUGGUGAAUUACCACAGCCAACAUUAAGUACUAACUCUAACAACGUUUUUGACUUUGGGACUCAAACUUUAUGUACAUCGGCUCAAUUAAAAGACUUAGAGUAUACAAACCGGUGUCUAAAACAGAAAUUGAGACGACUUCAGCUGUGUUACAAUAAACUCAAAGAAACAGUAGAUAUAGACAAGGAAGAGAAUCGUGCAGAAUGGAAACAAUUAGAGCAAAUAAAAAAGGACGCUGAAAAAUCAAAUUCCAAAGCUAUUUUUAUUCUGGACCAAAUUAAAAAUUAUAAUAAAAAAAAACCUAUAUGGUCUGAAAUGACAAUACGCCAAUGCAUCGCAUGGAGAUUUUGUUCUCCAAAAGGGUAUGAAUUUCCAAGGAGUGAUCUUCUAAAAUUGCCAUGCAGU